rnacentral:tRNA from 1 species
GUUUCUGUAGUGUAGUGGUUAUCACGUUUGCUUUACACGCGAAAGGUCCCUGGUUCGAAACCGGGCAGAAGCA